rnacentral:rRNA from 1 species
GACCAGACUCCUACGGGAGGCAGCAGUGGGGGAUAUUGCACAAUGGGGGGAACCCUGAUGCAGCGACGCCGCGUGGGUGAAGGAGCGUUUCGGUAUGUAAAGCCCUAUCAGCAGGGAAGAAAUUGACGGUACCUGAGUAAGAAGCUCCGGCUAAAUACGUGCCAGCAGCCGCGGUAAUACGUAUGGAGCAAGCGUUAUCCGGAUUUACUGGGUGUAAAGGGAGCGUAGGCGGCCUGCCAAGUCUGAUGUGAAAUACCGGGGCUCAACCCCGGGGCUGCAUUGGAAACUGACAGGCUGGAGUGUCGGAGAGGCAGGCGGAAUUCCUAGUGUAGCGGUGAAAUGCGUAGAUAUUAGGAGGAACACCAGUGGCGAAGGCGGCCUACUGGACGGUGACUGACGCUGAGGCUCGAAAGCGUGGGGAGCAAACAGGAUUAGAUACCCCCGUA